AGCCUGCAUGUCUAAGUAUAGCAAUUAUACCGUGAAACUGCGAAUGGCUCAUUAAAUCAGUUAUCGUUUAUUUGAUAGUACCUUACUACUUGGAUAACCGUGGUAAUUCUAGAGCUAAUACAUGCUGAAAACCCCAACUUCGGAAGGGGUGUAUUUAUUAGAUAAAAAACCAACGCCCUUCGGGGCUUCUUGGUGAUUCAUAAUAACUUUACGGAUCGCAUGGCCUUGCGCCGGCGACGGUUCAUUCAAAUUUCUGCCCUAUCAACUUUCGAUGGUAAGGUAUUGGCUUACCAUGGUUUCAACGGGUAACGGGGAAUUAGGGUUCGAUUCCGGAGAGGGAGCCUGAGAAACGGCUACCACAUCCAAGGAAGGCAGCAGGCGCGCAAAUUACCCAAUCCCGACACGGGGAGGUAGUGACAAUAAAUACUGAUACAGGGCUCUUUUGGGUCUUGUAAUUGGAAUGAGUACAAUUUAAACCUCUUAACGAGGAACAAUUGGAGGGCAAGUCUGGUGCCAGCAGCCGCGGUAAUUCCAGCUCCAAUAGCGUAUAUUAAAGUUGUUGCAGUUAAAAAGCUCGUAGUUGAAACUUGGGUCUGGCUGGCAGGUCCGCCUCACCGCGUGUACUUGUCCGGCCGGGCCUUCCUUCUGGAGAACCUCAUGCCCUUCACUGGGCGUGUUGGGGACCAGGACUUUUACUUUGAAAAAAUUAGAGUGUUCAAAGCAGGCCUUUGCUCGAAUACGUUAGCAUGGAAUAAUAGAAUAGGACGUGCGUUCCUAUUUUGUUGGUUUCUAGGAACGCCGUAAUGAUUAAUAGGGACAGUCGGGGGCAUCAGUAUUCAAUUGUCAGAGGUGAAAUUCUUGGAUUUAUUGAAGACUAACUACUGCGAAAGCAUUUGCCAAGGAUGUUUUCAUUAAUCAGUGAACGAAAGUUAGGGGAUCGAAGACGAUCAGAUACCGUCGUAGUCUUAACCGUAAACUAUGCCGACUAGGGAUCGGGCGAUGUUCUUUUUCUGACUCGCUCGGCACCUUACGAGAAAUCAAAGUUUUUGGGUUCUGGGGGGAGUAUGGUCGCAAGGCUGAACUAAG
rnacentral:rRNA from 1 species